ACGAACGCUGGCGGCGUGCUUAACACAUGCAAGUCGAGCGAGGCCCCUCCUUCGGGAGGGUGUCCUAGCGGCAAACGGGUGAGAAACACGGGGGCAACCUGCCCUCAGCUCUGGGAUAACUCCGGAAAACCGGGGCUAAUACCGGAAACGACCUCCACGGGCAUCUGCGGAGUGGGAAAGUUUUUCGGCUGGGGAGGGGCCCGCGGCCUAUCAGCUAGUUGGUGGGGUAGGGGCCCACCAAGGCGACGACGGGUAGCCGGCCUGAGAGGGCGACCGGCCACACUGGGACUGAGACACGGCCCAGACUCCUACGGGAGGCAGCAGUGGGGAAUAUUGCGCAAUGGGCGAAAGCCUGACGCAGCGACGCCGCGUGAGGGACGAAGACCUUCGGGUUGUAAACCUCUUUCAGCAGGGACGAAGCGAAAGUGACGGUACCUGCAGAAGAAGCACCGGCCAACUACGUG
rnacentral:rRNA from 1 species